GCAGGGAGUGCGCAUGCGGCCGAGUGCGGGACUGGGGCUCCUGGCUGUGGGUGUGGUACUGAGGCUUCAGCGGGUGCCGCCCGCCUAGAGGGAGUGGAGCGAGAGCCUACGACUAGAUUUGCAUCUUUACGUCCUGCGCGGAGGCUGCUACACACAUGCAGAAGUCAUGCUGGUGGCCUGGACAUUGAAGGGAGAGAAGUGGAUUUGGGAGACAUUUAGGAGAAGAAUCCCAGUCUUCUUAGAGAACCCAGUGACUUUUUGCACCUUAAAUCUGUGAAAUCCUCAUGUUUUCUUCUGCCGUAUCCAUAGUUCAAACAAAGAUGAGGCAAAGCUAGAUGCAUUCCUGAAGGAACCCAAGAAAUUCCUCUCUUUAUUUCUCUGGAAUGAAAUGAAUUCUCUAGACGACCAGUUCUAACCUUCAAAAACCAAACCUGUUUGUGAGAUCUCCUUCAAAUACUACUGUAGACCCCAGUGUUUAUUCAUUAAAUUUUAAAAUAUUUGUUUUAUUUGGAA
rnacentral:lncRNA from 10 species